GUCCUCAUAGCUCAAUUGGAAGAGCACGAAUCUUCUAAAUUCGGGGUUGAAAGUUCAAAUCUUUCUGGGGAUGCCA
rnacentral:tRNA from 1 species